ACUUCAUGAAGUCGGAGUCGCUAGUAAUCGUGGAUCAGAAUGCCACGGUGAAUACGUUCCCGGGCCUUGUACACACCGCCCGUCACACCAUGGGAGUGGGUUGCAAAAGAAGUAGGUAGCUUAACCUUCGGGAGGGCGCUUACCACUUUGUGAUUCAUGACUGGGGUGAAGUCGUAACAAGGUAACCGUAGGGGAACCUGCGGUUGGAUCACCUCCUUACCUUAAAGAAGC
rnacentral:rRNA from 1 species